UGCAACAGAAACAGACUAUUAACGUUGAGUUACUUGCUUGUCAGGGGAAAUCUUUCGUUGGUAUUUUCAAAUGUUGUGCCGUGUUUUGUAACGUUGAUGCAAACGUUAAAGGUACUCUAACGUUAAGUUAAUAGUCUGUUGAUAUGAUUAGGCAUAUUUGUUGCCGCACAAUCCAUUAAGUGUAACAUUAAGUUAGUGUAACGGGGGUUAUUCAGUUCUGUAAUACUCUCUUUUAAUCUCUUUUAUAUCGCUGAUAGUGGUGACAGUCAGCAGAUGGUGGUGGGCUAACGGCUGAUAAUGGCUAACUGUCAUUAGCUAACAUUAGUUGACUCCAAGAAGGGAUGUUUGUUAGUUCCCAUGGUAACGGGCUUUAAAGCUGCAUUAGUAACGGAGUAUUAAAUAUGAACAACAUAAACUAGUAAACAAGUAAGGCAUAUGUACACCUUACAUCUGUCAAAUACAGCCGUGUUUCAGACUGGCCAAAAGGCUCCUUUGGGAUCCGAGAGACCACACAAAUGUUGAUGUGGACCAACAAAUUGUCACACAGCUCUCUGUAACGUGAUGGAUGACUGAAGAUGGCAAAAGG